rnacentral:rRNA from 1 species
GCUUCCAUCUGGAAGAAUCUGGAGACAGGUGCUGCAUGGCUGUCGUCAGCUCGUGUCGUGAGAUGUUGGGUUAAGUCCCGCAACGAGCGCAACCUUGCCUUUAGUUGCCAGCAGUUCGGCUGGGCGACUCUAAAGGGACUGCCGGUGUUAAACCGGAGGAAGGUGGGGAUGACGUCAAGUCCUCAUGGCCUUUAUGACCAGGGCGUACACACGUACUACAAUGGCCGAUACAAAGGGCAGCGACACUGCGAGGUGAAGCCAAUACCCGUAAAAUCGGUCUCAGUCCGGAUUGGAGUCUGCAACUCGACUCCAUGAAGUUGGAAUCGCUAGUAAUCGUGGAUCAGCAUGCCACGGUGAAUACGUUCCCGGGCCUU